rnacentral:rRNA from 1 species
CACCGCAUGGUUCAGACAUAAAAGGUGGCUUCGGCUACCACUUACAGAUGGACCCGCGGCGCAUUAGCUAGUUGGUGAGGUAACGGCUCACCAAGGCGACGAUGCGUAGCCGACCUGAGAGGGUGAUCGGCCACACUGGGACUGAGACACGGCCCAGACUCCUACGGGAGGCAGCAGUAGGGAAUCUUCCGCAAUGGACGAAAGUCUGACGGAGCAACGCCGCGUGAGUGAUGAAGGUUUUCGGAUCGUAAAGCUCUGUUGUUAGGGAAGAACAAGUGCCGUUCAAAUAGGGCGGCACCUUGACGGUACCUAACCAGAAAGCCACGGCUAACUACGUGCCAGCAGCCGCGGUAAUACGUAGGUGGCAAGCGUUGUCCGGAAUUAUUGGGCGUAAAGGGCUCGCAGGCGGUUUCUUAAGUCUGAUGUGAAAGCCCCCGGCUCAACCGGGGAGGGUCAUUGGA